GGGAGCAACCCUCGGAAGUUUGUUAGACAAUUUAAAUUAGAAAGUGCUUGAAUAUGGAAAUUAUACGAUCGGCGAAGCAUACCAGGGCGGUUAUUGAUCACUUGUACCACAAUUUGAUAUUUAUUUUGUGAAAGUGUUUGUGAAAAAAUUGUGAAAUGCGGACUUAUUGUUUUGAUUCGGAAGCCCUCACUUGGGAUGACUGUUCUGUGAAUCCUGUUAGAUCAACGUAACGUGAAAAGUUACUGAAGAAACAGUAGUGCACCUAUUAUAUUACAGCGCCCUCUUGGCCGCCCUCCUCACUCGCUCCUCCUUCUCCUGCUCCUCGCGGCAGCGGUGGAAGUUUUCCACCACGACGCCCACG